UGCGUAGGCGGAAAAUUAAGUCAGUAAUGAAAUCCUACAGCUUAACUGUAGAACUGUUAUUGAUACUGGUUUUCUUGAAUACAGUUGAGGCAGGCGGAAUGUGUAAUGUAGCGGUGAAAUGCUUAGAUAUUACACAGAACACCGAUUGCGAAGGCAGCUUGCUAAACUGUGAUUGACGCUGAGGCACGAAAGCGUGGGUAGCAAACAGGAUUAGAUACCCUGGUAGUCC
rnacentral:rRNA from 1 species